AGCCUCCAUGCGGCUCGACUCUACUUCCCCAUCUUCCGUCGGCCCGAGCCAUCCGGUCCUCCCUUCCUGCCCCUAGCCGAACUCCUCCGCUUUCCCCCAAAUCAGAAUCUCGGCACGCCAUGACCUCCUCUUACCGGCCGGCCGCCACGACGAGCCCGGAGGCGACGGCGCCAGUACCCAAGGUGGAGGCCGAGGCGGCGGCGACGGCGGCCCGAAACCCUAGCUCCCCCAGCGGCCCGCCGUCGCCGGAGAUGGAGGCCACGGCGGAGGCGCUCACGCGGGAGGAGGUGCUACGCAGGAGGCGCCGACGCACGGCGCGGCUCGUUGGCGUGUACCGACGGCUGUACUGGGCGAUGGCAGAGGAGGUGCGCGCGCGGCACCGGCAGUACGUCUGGGAGCUCGGCCGCAGUCCGCUCGAGGCCGAGCAGCCCCCGUCGGCCGCGUGCUCGGAGGCGAAGCCUGGGCCGGUGGCGGUGCCGAGGAGGAAGAAGUGUGGGUUCACGGGCUGCAAGGUGCGGGCGAUGCCUAUGGCCAAGUACUGCCACUCCCACAUCCUAUCCGAUCCCAAUCAGGCCCUGUACAAGGGAUGUGGUCAAAUCAUCAAGAGUGGUGCACAGAUUGGGCAAAUUACUUGCAGCAGGCCCAUCCUAAAAGCUUCAGUUCCCUCCCUCUGCAAUGUUCACUUGCAAAGAUCUCAGAAGAACAUAUCACAGGCUUAUAAGAAAGUUGGAUUUAAUCCACCCCCUACUGGCCAGAUCUCCCCAGAUUUUAGUGUCUUAGUUGCUGAAUGUGUCCGGCAGAUCCAGGCCAGGAGGAGAGAAUCCCGAAGUGUUGCAGCAGGGAAGAAAUGCCCCAAAGAUGGGAAAGUUGGCUGAGCUCCCUGAGAUCUCAUUUGUUACAUAAACUGUAGGAAAAUGUCAGGCAUCCUGAGGUUUACCGAGUGUUGAUAACUAACCCUGCGGGUUACUGCACUCUUCCUUGAAAGAUAUGGAAUAUUGAAAAUAUAUGUGGCCUGCAGCUGUGCAUGACUGGAUGACAACAUGACCCUGAUGGUUGUCAGUUAACAGCAAAUUUCAUAUGAAGAGUUUAUCCAACGAGCUAGUGGUGGAGUGUCAAGUAUCAAGGUUGAGCACACAUGUCAGGAGAGCAUUUAUGUAUCAAAAUGCUUCUGAUGACUUGCACACAUGUCAAGUAUCAAAAUGCACACAUGUCAGGAGAGCAUUUAUGUAUCAAAAUGCUUCUGAUGACUUGCUGAACAUGCUGCAGGACUGCCAUGGUUAAUUUUAUUCAUCUUCUGAUGGUAAUUUAUCCUAAAUGAAGGCCUGAGUUAGAUAUACUGGGUCGGUUCAUUGCCAACUGCCGAUUUUGAAGAACAUGAUGAAAUCUUCACCUUGUUUACGGCACAUACUUCUCCAGAAAGGAUUGAGAUUGUUGCUUUGUGCCAAGGAUGCUAUGGGGACGGUGGUUUUGUGCCAAUCCUGAAGGAGCCAUUCAAAUAAGGUACUAUGAGGAGAGAAUAGCAUGUACAUGUUGAUGCUUAUGACAUGGAUGAGGAGAGGGCAUGUACAUGUUGAUGUUUACUUUUGCCUGAUUUAGUUGGAAUGGUUGCAUUGUACGAAAGAUGGUCCACAUAGAGGACCCUGCAAGCAGUAUGAUAUGUCGCUGCAUUGCUGAUAUUGAUGCAAGGGAGGAGCUGUACAUACAAAGGAUAGUUGCCUGGUACUGCAAUCAAAUUUCGUAGUAUCUUCGUUGCAUGAAUAGUUACUUAUGAAGUAGCAGCAACACAUGAAUGUGCAUGCUUAAGCUUAUAUCAAAUGCUCUGAGAUAGAGGACAGGAUGUGGAUAUCGGCAGACAUUGGAUGGCCUGGAAGUACGACGUGACUAAGGAACUGACGCAAUUGUUCAUCUAAAAAAUGAGAACGGUAUUACUGGCCAUGUGAUUAGAGUAUGACAUUGCAUGUGUGCAUGUGUGGAUGGGAAAAAGGAAGAUAUUACAAACUGAUUUACAGACUAAACCAUUAGGGCCUUUCAUAUUCCAUUUUCAUUGAAGUUCAUCGUUAGUUUUGUAUCGUCAAGCUCUAAUCAUCGUUACUGAAGUUAACUAUGUUGAUAUCAAGUUGCCGUGUAGCAACUUUUGUUACCAAUGCGUAGUAACUUCCAUGAAAAAAGGGGGCAACUUUGAAGGUGAAAAAAGCUGUUGAAACAUAGCAAACAUGAGGUCCAGUAUUGAAGAUCAAUGUAAAUUCGAGCAACUCACUUUGUCGUUUCAGUAGUACUCCCUUUGUAAAGAAAUAUGAGAGUGUUUAGGUCA